CCUACGGGUGACUGCAGUGAGGAAUAUUGGUCAAUGGGCGCGAGCCUGAACCAGCCAAGUCGCGUGAGGGAAGACGGUCCUAUGGAUUGUAAACCUCUUUUGUCGGGGAGCCAAAGACGCCACGCGUGGCGUUCCGAGAGUACCCGAAGAAAAAGCAUCGGCUAACUCCGUGCCAGCAGCCGCGGUAAUACGGAGGAUGCGAUCGUUAUCCGGAUUUAUUGGGUUAAACGUGUGCGCAGGCGGCAUAUCAAGUCAGCGGUAAAAUUGAGAGGCUCAACCUCUUCGAGCCGUUGAAACUGGUUUUCUUGAGUGAGCGAGAGGUAUGCGGAAUGCGUGGUGUAGCGGUGAAAUGCAUAGAUAUCACGCAGAACUCCGAUUGCGAAGGCAGCAUACCGGCGCUCAACUGACGCUCAUGCACGAAAGUGUGGGUAUCGAACAGGAUUAGAUACCCGUGUAGUC
rnacentral:rRNA from 1 species